CUGGAACGGGACGCCACAGAGGGUGAGAGCCCCGUAUGGUCGGACACCAAGCCUGUGUGAAGCUCCUUCGACGAGUCGAGUAGUUUGGGAAUGCUGCUCUAAAUGGGAGGUAAAUCUCUUCUAAAGCUAAAUACCGGCCAGAGACCGAUAGCGCACAAGUAGAGUGAUCGAAAGAUGAAAAGCACCUUGAAAAGGGGGUUAAAUAGUACGUGAAAUUGUUGAAAGGGAAGCACUUGUGACCAGACUUGGGCCGGGCGGCUCAUCAGGGGUUCUCCCCUGUGCACUCCGCCCGGCACAGGCCAGCAUCGGUUCUCGUGGGGGGAUAAGACCGUCGGGAACGUAGCACCCUCCGGGGUGUGUUAUAGCCCGGCGGACGAUACCCCCGUGGGGACCGAGGUUCGCGCUCCGCAAGGAUGCUGGCGUAAUGGUCACCAGUGACCCGUCUUGAAACACGGACCAAGGAGUCGUCCAUUAGAGCGAGCGUUUGGGUGUAAAACCCGCACGCGUAAUGAAAGUGAACGCAGGUGAGAGCUUCGGCGCAUCAUCGACCGAUCCUGAUGUUCUCGGAAGGAUUUGAGUAAGAGUUUUAACGGACGGACCCGAAAGACAGUGAACUAUGCUUGUAUAGGGUGAAGCCAGAGGAAACUCUGGUGGAGGCUCGCAGCGGUUCUGACGUGCAAAUCGAUCGUCAAAUAUGAGCAUGGGGGCGAAAGACUAAUCGAACUGUCUAGUAGCUGGUUACCGCCGAAGUUUCCCUCAGGAUAGCAGUGUUGAUCUUCAGUUUUAUGAGGUAAAGCGAAUGAUUAGGGACUCGGGGGCGCUAUAUUGCCUUCAUCCAUUCUCAAACUUUAAAUAUGUAAGAAGCCCUUGUUACUUAGUUGAACGUGGGCAUUCGAAUGUACCAACACUAGUGGGCCAUUUUUGGUAAGCAGAACUGGCGAUGCGGGAUGAACCGAACGCGGGGUUAAGGCGCCAGAGUGUACGCUCAUCAGACACCACAAAAGGCGUUAGUACAUCUUGACAGCAGGACGGUGGCCAUGGAAGUCGGAAUCCGCUAAGGACUGUGUAACAACUCACC
rnacentral:rRNA from 1 species